rnacentral:rRNA from 1 species
UAAAGGCGAAAUGAAAGUAAAUGCCGGCCGCCUCCGCGGUCGGUNUAGGAGUGAUGCCGCGCCUUUGAAUUGAAUUUCUUUACACAAGCCGGCCGCAACUCCGGGGCGUCUCGUUGUCAUCGCGACACAGCAGGCGCACCUGAAGCGUACACGUUGGGACCCGAAAGAUGGUGAACUAUGCCUGGCCAGGUCGAAGUCAGGGGAAACCCUGAUGGAGGACCGUAGCGAUUCUGACGUGCAAAUCGAUCGUCAGAGCUGGGUAUAGGGGCGAAAGACUAAUCGAACCAUCUAGUAGCUGGUUCCCUCCGAAGUUUCCCUCAGGAUAGCUGGUGCCCGACGUAUAUCCAGUAUGAAGUUGCCGCUCGCGCGGCAUCGCGACCAGUCUCAUCUGGUAAAGCGAAUGAUUAGAGGCAUUGGGGCCGAAACGGCCUCAACCUAUUCUCAAACUUUAAAUGGGUGAGAUCCUCGACUUGCUUAAGUGCGCUGUCGUUGAAGUCGAUCCCGCAGGAUAAACGGGCACGUAGUG